GAUGAACGCUGGCGGCGUGCUUAACACAUGCAAGUCGAACGGAAAGGCCAGUGCUUGCCCUGGUACUCGAGUGGCGAACGGGUGAGUAACACGUGGGUGAUCUGCCCUGCACUUCGGGAUAAGCCUGGGAAACUGGGUCUAAUACCGGAUAGGACAAUGGUUUGGAUGCCGUUGUGGAAAGUUUUUUCGGUGUGGGAUGAGCUCGCGGCCUAUCAGCUUGUUGGUGGGGUAAUGGCGUACCAAGGCGUGGACGGGUAGCCGGCCCGAGAGGGUGUACGGCCACACUGGGACCGUGCGACGGGCCACAGUCCUAAGGGGGGCAGCAGUGGGGAAUAUUGGACAAUGGGCGCCAGCCUGAGGGAGCGACGCCGCGGGGGGGAUGACGGCCUUCGGGUUGUAAACUCCUUUCGCUAGGGAAGAAGCGUAUUUGUGACGGUACCUGGAGAAGAAGCACCGGCUAACUACGUG
rnacentral:rRNA from 1 species